UUCCUGUCAAAUACUUAAAGGCCAAAUGCAGGUGGCCAACUUUCAAAGCUACAGCUUUGUACUAUGUAAUUUAAGAUGCUCUGAAGAGGUGGAGUCCAACUGCCACAGACUCCGAAAUUGAUGCAUCAAUGGUGGAACACCUAAAGCACGCUCCAGGAAGAGCUGGGGGCGGUGGUUAUAAGAAAUAAGCUGUUUUGAGAGACAUUUACAUGCGUGUUUACAUUAAUCCAGUAUUUUUGUUUUGUACUUGUUUGAUUUAUAGCUGUUUAAAAUUAAUGCAAAACUGUUUCAAUUAAAAAAAAUGAGUACUGCCACAAUAAUAAUGCUUCUGGAAGAGCAGGUGCUUGUGGAGCAACAAAAUGAUAGUAAACAUUUUGGAAUAAUGAUAAAUAAAUAAAAGAUUAUAAAUAUA